rnacentral:rRNA from 1 species
UACGUAGGUGGCAAGCGUUGUCCGGAUUUACUGGGCGUAAAGAGCGCGCAGGCGGUCGUUCAAGUCGCGUGUGAAAGCCCCCGGCUCAACUGGGGAGGGUCACGCGAUACUGAUCGACUCGAAGGCAGGAGAGGGUAGUGGAAUUCCCGGUGUAGUGGUGAAAUGCGUAGAUAUCGGGAGGAACACCAGUGGCGAAGGCGACUACCUGGCCCGAUACUGACGCUGAGGAGCGAAAGCCAGGGGAGCAAACGGG